ACAUCCCACAUCUCCUUAGCACAGUUGCAUUAAGAUAUCCUGAAAAAUUCAUCAAUGGUUAGUGCAUAGGCAAUGAUAUUUCUAGCUUUAACAUCAUGUUGUCCUUUCCUGUUCUCUUCUUGAGACCACUCAGAAAAAAUUUUCAAAAUAGUUUUUCCAUCAAUAAUAUGAGUUGGCUCAAAAGGACCAUUCAAAGUUGCAU
rnacentral:lncRNA from 1 species